GACCUGUCUCAGUUCGGAUUGGAGCUGCAACUCGACUCCAUGAAGCUGGAUUCGCUAGUAAUCGCGCAUCAGCCAUGGCGCGGUGAAUACGUUCCCGGGCCUUGUACACACCGCCCGUCAAGCCAUGGAAGCCGGGAGUGCCUGAAGUGUGCAACCGCAAGGAGCGCCCUAAGGUAAAACUGGUGACUGGGGCUAAGUCGUAACAAGGUAGC
rnacentral:rRNA from 1 species